rnacentral:rRNA from 1 species
GAUGAACGCUGGCGGCGUGCCUAAUACAUGCAAGUCGAGCGAACAGACGAGGAGCUUGCUCCUCUGACGUUAGCGGCGGACGGGUGAGUAACACGUGGAUAACCUACCUAUAAGACUGGGAUAACUUCGGGAAACCGGAGCUAAUACCGGAUAAUAUAUUGAACCGCAUGGUUCAAUAGUGAAAGACGGUUUUGCUGUCACUUAUAGAUGGAUCCGCGCCGCAUUAGCUAGUUGGUAAGGUAACGGCUUACCAAGGCAACGAUGCGUAGCCGACCUGAGAGGGUGAUCGGCCACACGGGAACUGAGACACGGUCCAGACUCCUACGGGAGGCAGCAGUAGGGAAUCUUCCGCAAUGGGCGAAAGCCUGACGGAGCAACGCCGAGUGAGUGAUGAAGGUCUUCGGAUCGUAAAACUCUGUUAUUAGGGAAGAACAAAUGUGUAAGUAACUAUGCACGUCUUGACGGUACCUAAUCAGAAAGCCACGGCUAACUACGUG